rnacentral:rRNA from 1 species
CCUACGGGGCGCUGCAGUGAGGAAUAUUGGUCAAUGGGCGAGAGCCUGAACCAGCCAAGUCGCGUGAGGGAGUACUGCCCUAUGGGUUGUAAACCUCUUUUGUCGGGGAGCAAAAGCCGGACGUGUCCGGCUGUGCGAGUACCCGAAGAAAAAGCAUCGGCUAACUCCGUGCCAGCAGCCGCGGUAAUACGGAGGAUGCGAGCGUUAUCCGGAUUUAUUGGGUUUAAAGGGAGCGUAGGUGGAUUGUUAAGUCAGUUGUGAAAGUUUGCGGCUCAACCGUAAAAUUGCAGUUGAAACUGGCAGUCUUGAGUACAGUAGAGGUGGGCGGAAUUCGUGGUGUAGCGGUGAAAUGCUUAGAUAUCACGAAGAACUCCGAUUGCGAAGGCAGCUCACUGGACUGCAACUGACACUGAGGCUCGAAAGUGUGGGUAUCAAACAGGAUUAGAUACCCGGGUAGUC